rnacentral:rRNA from 1 species
AUUGAACGCUGGCGGCAGGCCUAACACAUGCAAGUCGAACGCGUGGCGGACGGGUGAGUAAUGUCUGGGAAACUGCCUGAUGGAUGGGGAUCACUACUGGAAACGGUAGCUAAUACCGCAUACCAUCGGAUGUGCCCAGAUGGGAUUAGCUAGUAGGUGGGGUAAAGGCUCACCUAGGCGACGAUCCCUAGCUGGUCUGAGAGGAUGACCAGCCACACUGGAACGGAGACACGGUCCAGACUCCUACGGGAGGCAGCAGUGGGGAAUAUUGCACAAUGGGCGCAAGCCUGAUGCAGCCAUGCCGCGUGUAUGAAGAAGGCCUUCGGGUUGGAAAGGACAGUCAGCGGGGAGGCGUCACACGCAGAAGAAGCAGCGGCGAACUCCGUGCCAGCCGCCGCGGUAAUUC